rnacentral:rRNA from 1 species
CCCUUAGAUGUUCUGGGCCGCACGCGUGCUACACUGAGUGGAUCAGCGGGUCAGGUUGCGCGAAAGCGUUUCCUAAUCUUUAAAUCCGCUCGUGAUGGGGAUUGACGGUUGCAAUUUUCUGUCAUGAACGAGGAAUACCUUGUAAGCGCGGGUCAUCAUCCCGCGCUGAAUACGUCCCUGCCCUUUGUACACACCGCCCGUCGCUCCUACCGAUUGAGUGGUCCGGUGAGGCUUUGGGAUCUGAGCGGAAAGAGCGUUUCGCUGUUUCUGCUCGGAAAACUCAGUCGAACCUUAUCAGUUAGAGGAAGGAGAAGUCGUAACA